UCCUCACCAAAGCUGCGUUUCUUUGCUUCCACACUGACAAAGGCCUUGUUUAAACGCUCGCCUUUGUCCACCACACUUGCAAAUGAGAAAUUCGGAGUAAUCUUCACCAUUUACACCCACCUUGCCAAUCUCUUCGGAGUGCAGUAAGCUCUGGGUCACUGCCUGCGAGGGCCUGACGUGACACGUCUGCACCUGGCAUCAGAAACUCAGAAUGUCUUGACCUCUAUCCGCUUCGGCGGUCAAGGGGAAGAGAUCGCGUUCUAUGGGAGCCGGUGCGAAGAUUGUGUGCGAGUCUAUGACUUGCGAUACUUGAGUGCAAUACGCAGCAUUUCUUCCUUAACAGAAGUUAUAAUUCGAUUCCGAUUACUCAGGUGAGGA
rnacentral:RNase_P_RNA from 2 species